rnacentral:rRNA from 1 species
ACGUACACUCCUGCGGGAGGCAGCAGUGGGGAAUAUUGGACAAUGGGCGCAAGCCUGAUCCAGCCAUGCCGCGUGAGUGAUGAAGGCCCUAGGGUUGUAAAGCUCUUUCACCGGAGAAGAUAAUGACGGUAUCCGGAGAAGAAGCCCCGGCUAACUUCGUGCCAGCAGCCGCGGUAAUACGAAGGGGGCUAGCGUUGUUCGGAAUUACUGGGCGUAAAGCGCACGUAGGCGGAUCGAUCAGUCAGGGGUGAAAUCCCAGGGCUCAACCCUGGAACUGCCUUUGAUACUGUCGAUCUGGAGUAUGGAAGAGGUGAGUGGAAUUCCGAGUGUAGAGGUGAAAUUCGUAGAUAUUCGGAGGAACACCAGUGGCGAAGGCGGCUCACUGGUCCAUUACUGACGCUGAGGUGCGAAAGCGUGGGGAGCAAACAGGAUUAGAAACCCUAGUAGUCC